AGCAAGGUGGUUGAUAAUUUAAACGUUAGACUGUAAAUCUAUAAAUGAGGCUUAUCCCCUCUCUUGCUA
rnacentral:tRNA from 1 species